rnacentral:rRNA from 1 species
UACGUAGGGGGCAAGCGUUGUCCGGAAUUACUGGGCGUAAAGCGCACGCAGGCGGUUCGCCAAGUUUGGAGUGACAGUUGUCGGCUCAACCGACAAAGGACUUCAAAAACUGGUGAACUUUGAGGACGAGAGAGGAACAUGGAACUCCAGGUGUAGUAGUGAAAUGCGUAGAUAUCUGGAAGAACACCAAUGGCGAAGGCAAUGUUCUGGCUCGUUUCUGACGCUCAGGUGCGAAAGCCAGGGGAGCGAACGGG